rnacentral:piRNA from 1 species
UGCUGAGUCUCCUGCUUAAGAAGUUUGC